rnacentral:rRNA from 1 species
UACGUAGGGUGCGAGCGUUAAUCGGAAUUACUGGGCGUAAAGCGUGCGUAGACGGUUAUUUAAGUCGGGUGUGAAAGCCCCGGGCUCAACCUGGGAAUUGCAUUCGAGACUGAAUAGCUAGGGUACGGUAGAGGGAAGCGGAAUUCUUGGUGUAGCGGUGAAAUGCGUAGAUAUCAAGAGGAACACCUGAGGUGAAGACGGGUUGCUGGGCUGACACUGACGCUGAGGCGCGAAAGCCAGGGGAGCAAACGGG